rnacentral:rRNA from 1 species
AUACGGAGGAUCCGAGCGUUAUCCGGAUUUAUUGGGUUUAAAGGGUGCGCAGGCGGCCAUUUAAGUCAGCGGUUAAAUCGUGGGGCUCAACGCCAUUCUGCCGUUGAUACUGGGUGGCUUGAUUGCGGUCGAGGUUGGCGGAAUUCGUUGUGUAGCGGUGUAAUGCAUAGAUAUGACGAAGAACACCGAUUGCGUAGGCAGCUGACCAGACCGCAAAUGACGCUCAUGCACGAAAGUGCGGGGAUCGUACAGGAUUAGAUACCCUGGUAGUCCGCACAGUAAACGAUGAAUACUUGUUUUCGGCGAUAUAAUGUCGGAGGCAAAGCGAAAGCGAUAUGUAUUCCACCUGGGGAGUACGCCGGCAACGGUGAAACUCAAAUGAAUUGGCGGGG